rnacentral:lncRNA from 1 species
ACACGCUCAAAAUGGCAAAGUUUUCAAUUUUUUGUUUUCGCAGUUUUAUUAAGCCAUUUUAUUUUUACGUUUCGUGCGAGUGUGUAUUGCGCAGUUUGGACGCUUCUAAACUGUCUAUCUCCCUAACUAUUUUGCGCACGCGACGGACCAUAUUAUCCGCAUGCAACCGCCCUGAAAAGGAAUACCUCUACAUGCUUGAAUACCUUUGUGUUCCAUUGAACACAUUGAGCCGCCAUAAGAGAGGGGACCUAGUCACUGGUAGCGGACUGUUUUUUCAUGAAGUAAGACCGGCUACCAGGAAAAUACAUGCUUUACCUUACUACGGGAGAGAAAAUGUUUAAAAAAACUUUGCCACCAUAAUUGUCUUAUUCUCGCCAAUCCAAACGACCAGCACGAUUUCCA